CAUAAUGAAACGGGCAAAUGAGAUAUAGCAGAAGGAAGGAGGGAGAAUAGAAGGAAGGAAGGACCCCCCUAGGAUUCCUUUGUGGAUCAAAGGCAAAGAAAGAAGGGCUUCUGAAGGCCUGGCACAGCUACAAGGAUUCUCCUGACAGUAUGGCACAUCUGUCUAGCACGUUUCGGGGAAGCCUUUCCCAACGGUGUCAUGAGGCUGGCAGGGUGGGCAUUCUGUCCAUCAGCGAGGAGCAGAUGGAGAGCCAAAGAGGAUGAGUGAAUUGCCGACGCGCACGCCUGGUUCAGGAUCAGCAUCCAGGUCUCCUCAUUAAGUCCAAUGAGCUUUCAGCUCUGUCAUGCUGCCUCUUCUUCCCCAGAGGGCUUGGGAAACAUAAGCAACUGCCUACAGGAAAUAUGCUUCACCUUCCUCACAGACACGGCGUUCCAGAACCAGACUCCAUGGAAACAGAACACAGAGGGUGUGUACAUGCAUGUCUUCUAGACCCACUCCAGUUCUCAUCAGAAGCUGAUGAGCCACCCCACAGUUCACGGCGGGUCAAACCUAAUCCGUAUCCUCUUCAAAAUAGGCCAGAAAAAUGGAAUCACUGGAUAUCAGAAGAGAAAGGGAACCACAGAGUCUUGCUAGUCUAAUGCCUUUAUUUUAAGGAUGAAGAAAUAGCCUUUUGUUUUGUUUUUCAGAUUUAUUGAGAUAUAAUGUACAAAGUGGUAAGAUACUUAAAGUUACAACAUGAUUUUGAAACAACCUUGCCUUGUGAAAGGACUCCCCCAUCAUGUUAAUUACCCUGAUAAUCACUUCACAUAUUUACCUUUGUGUGUGUAUGUUUGAGAAUAUUUAAGUUCUACUCUCUCAGCAAAUUUCAAUUAUACAAAUACAGUGUUAUCAACUA
rnacentral:lncRNA from 1 species